AGUGGCGAACGGGUGAGUAAUACAUCGGAACGUGCCCGAUCGUGGGGGAUAACGGAGCGAAAGCUUUGCUAAUACCGCAUACGAUCUACGGAUGAAAGCAGGGGACCGCAAGGCCUUGCGCGGACGGAGCGGCCGAUGGCAGAUUAGGUAGUUGGUGGGAUAAAAAGCUUACCAAGCCGACGAUCUGUAGCUGGUCUGAGAGGACGACCAGCCACACUGGGACUGAGACACGGCCCAGACUCCUACGGGAGGCAGCAGUGGGGAAUUUUGGACAAUGGGCGAAAGCCUGAUCCAGCCAUGCCGCGUGCAGGAUGAAGGCCUUCGGGUUGUAAACUGCUUUUGUACGGAACGAAAAGACCUCUUCUAAUAAAGGGGGUCCAUGACGGUACCGUAAGAAUAAGCACCGGCUAACUACGUGCCAGCAGCCGCGGUAAUACGUAGGGUGCAAGCGUUAAUCGGAAUUACUGGGCGUAAAGCGUGCGCAGGCGGUUAUGCAAGACAGAUGUGAAAUCCCCGGGCUCAACCUGGGAACUGCAUUUGUGACUGCAUAGCUAGAGUACGGUAGAGGGGGAUGGAAUUCCGCGUGUAGCAGUGAAAUGCGUAGAUAUGCGGAGGAACACCGAUGGCGAAGGCAAUCCCCUGGACCUGUACUGACGCUCAUGCACGAAAGCGUGGGGAGCAAACAGGAUUAGAUACCCUG
rnacentral:rRNA from 1 species